rnacentral:misc_RNA from 1 species
UCCGGUUUGACACCGGCAGUCCCGUUAGAGUCCUCAGCAUAACCUGUUAGCAACUAACGGCAGGGGUUUCGCUCGUUAAGGGACUUAACCCGACACUUCACAGCACGAGCUGACGACAGCCAUGCAGCACCUGUGCACGUUCCACCCAAAGGGCGUGGCCCCUGUUUCCAGGGGUUAAUCCGUGCAUGUCAAACCCAGGAUAAGGUUCUUCGCGUUGCUUCGAAUUAAGCCACAUGCUCCACCGCUUGUGUGAGCCCCCGUCAAUUCCUUUGAGUUUUAGCCUUGCGACCGUACUCCCCAGGCGGUGCACUUAUUGCUUUGACUUCGACCCGGCCGGUGUCAGAACCUUCCAGAUCUAGUGCACAUCGUUUACGGCGUGGACUAC